ensembl:lncRNA
GAUGGUGUAUCGCUGAAGAAUGCUGUGGUAGCAAUGCUGGUUAAGUGUGCCUUGAAUUCUAAAUAAAUCACUGACAGUGUCACCAGCAAAGCACCCCAACACCAUCACACCACCUCCUCCAUGCUUCACGGUGGGAAAUUCACAUGCGGAGAUCAUCCGUUCACCUUCUCCGUCUCAAAAAGACACGGCGGUUGGAACCCAACAUCUCAAAUUUGGACUCAUCAAUCCAAAGGACAGAUUUCCACCAGUCUAAUGUCCAUCGCUCGUGUUUCUUGGCCCAAAAAAGUCUCUUCUUCUUAUUGGUGUGCUUUAGUAGUGGUUUCUUUGCAGCAAUUCAACCAUGAAGGCAAGCAGACUCCUCUGAACAGUUGAGAUGUCUGUUACUUGAACUCUGUGAAGCAUUUAUUUGGGCUGCAAGUUCUGAGGUGCAGUUAACUCUACUGAAUUUAUCCUCUGCAGCAGAGGUAACUCUGGGUCUUCCUUUCAUCAUGAGAGCCAGUUUCAUCAUAGCACUUGAUAGUUUUUGCAACUGUACUUGAAGAAUCUUUCAAAAUUCUUGAAAUGUUCCGUAUUGACUGACCUUCAUGUCUUCAUGUAAUGAUGACCUUGACCUUCAUGUAAUGAUGGACUGUCGUUUCUCUUUGCUUAUUUGAGCUGUUCUUGCCAUAAUACGAACUUGGUCUUUUACCAAAUAGGGCUAUCUUCUGUAUACCAUAACUUGAAUGGGUAGGUGUGUCCAAAUGUUUGACCACUACUGUAAAUAUUAUGUAUCUUUAAAUAAUGUUCUUCUGGUCCAUAAAUAUUAUGUCAUCUUUAAUUAAUAGGUCCAGUACCAUAUUAACAAUGUACAGGGAUACUGGAGUGAUGGAGGUAGAUACAGUGCCUUGCGAAAGUAUUCGGCCCCCUUGAACUUUGCACGCCCAAUUUUUCAGUUUUUGAUUUGUUAAAAAAGUUUGAAAUAUCCAAUAAAUGUCGUUCCACUUCAUGAUUGUGUCCCACUUGUUGUUGAUUCUUCACAAAAAAAUACAGUUUUAUAUCUUUAUGUUUGAAGCCUGAAAUGUGGCAAAAGGUCACAAAGUUCAAGGGGGCCGAAUACUUUCGCAAGGCACUGUAUAUAUAGGAGUAAGGAGACUAGAUAUCAGGAUAUCUGAUAAACAGAGUAGCAGCAGCGAUUCUACGGGAGUGUGUAUGCUUGCAUAUGUGUAGAGUCAGUAUGAAUGUGUUUGUGGGCAAAUGUGUGUUGGAGUCUCAGUGUGAGUGUGUAGAGUCCUUUUGAGUGUGCAUAGAGUCACUGCAAAAAUUUAAUAAAAGGGUCAAUGCAGAUAGUCCAUGUAGGUAUUUUUUGUUAGAUGUUCAGCAGUCUGAUGGCUUGGGUGUAGAAGCUGUUCAGCAGACUGAUGGCUUGGGGGUAGAAGCUGUUCAGCAGUGUGAUGGCUUGGGGGUAGAAGCUGUUCAGCAGUCUGAUGGCUUGGGGGUAGAAGCUGUUCAGCAGUCUGAUGGCUUGGGGGUAGAAGCUGUUCAGCAGUCUGAUGGCUUGGGGGUAGAAGCUGUUCAGGAGCCUGUUGGUAUCAGACUUGGUGCUCCGGUACCUCUUGCCAUUCGGUAGCAGAGAGAACAGUUGCUUGAGUCUUAGACAUAUUUCCAUGUCUUCCUUUCCCACCGUUUUGAUAUGGAGGUACUGAAUGGAAAGGAACUCGACCCCAGUGCUGUACUGGGCUGUCCGCACCACCAUCUGUAGCGCCAUGCGGUCGACAGUGAUGCACUUACCGUACCAAGCAGUGAUGCAGUCAGUCAAGAUGCUCUCAAUGAUGCAGCUGGAUACAUUUUUUUGAGGAUCUGAAACCAAAUCUUUUCAAAAUUGGGAACAACAACAAUGGG